AUGGUUUUCACAAAGGGCGAAGGUGUGGCGGCGUGCAGAGAGGGUGUCCAGUCGGAGAUCGUUUUAACUCAACCAGAGACAGAGAGUGGUAAUCCCGGAGCCACCCUGAGACUGACCUGUAAAACCAGCGGCUUCUAUCUUACCAGUUACUGGAUGCACUGGGUCCGACAGGUUCCCGGACAGGGGCUGGAGUGGCUGCUUAAUUACAAAAGUUCAUCCAACAGUAACUAUGCCCCAGCGAUUAAGAAUCGAUUUACUGCGUCCAAAGACCAUUCAAACAACAUCUUCGCGUUGGAGAUGAAGAGCCUGAAGAUCGAAGACACCGCCAUCUAUUACUGUACAACAUACCACAGCGUGAGGAACCAGGGCUGGACCCUUUCAACCAACAGUUCAAUGGGACAUUUUGCCAAUUUCAUCGUUAACUGA